rnacentral:tRNA from 1 species
AUAAAAGUAAGCUAAAUUAAGCUACUGGGUUCAUACCUCAUUUAUAAAGGUUCAUUCCUUUCUUUUAUA